AGUGAACGCUGGCGGUAGGCCUAACACAUGCAAGUCGAACGGCAGCACAGUAAGAGCUUGCUCUUACGGGUGGCGAGUGGCGGGCGGGUGAGGAAUACAUCGGAAUCUACUUUUUCGUGGGGGAUAACGUAGGGAAACUUACGCUAAUACCGCAUACGACCUACGGGUGAAAGCAGGGGAUCUUCGGACCUUGCGCGAUUGAAUGAGCCGAUGUCGGAUUAGCUAGUUGGGGGGGUAAAGGCCCACCAAGGCGACGAUCCGUAGCUGGUCUGAGAGGAUGAUCAGCCACACUGGAACUGAGACACGGUCCAGACUCCUACGGGAGGCAGCAGUGGGGAAUAUUGGACAAUGGGCGCAAGCCUGAUCCAGCCAUACCGCGUGAGUGAAGAAGGCCUUCGGGUUGUAAAGCCCUUUUGUUGGGAAAGAAAAGCAGCAGGUUAAUACCCCGCUGUUCUGACGGUACCCAAAGAAUAAGCACCGGCUAACUUCGUG
rnacentral:rRNA from 1 species